rnacentral:rRNA from 1 species
GACAGAGGUGCCAAGCGUUAGGCGGAAUCACUGGGCUUAAAGCGUGUGUAGGCGGAUUUGUAAGUACCUUGUGAAAUCCCAUGGCUCAACCAUGGAACUGCUCGGUAUACUGCGAAUCUUGAGCCACUUAGGGGCUACCGGAACAAAUGGUGGAGCGGUGAAAUGCGUAGAUAUCAUUUGGAACGCCAAUGGUGAAAACAGACAGCUGGGAGUGUGCUGACGCUGAGACACGAAAGCCAGGGGAGCGAACGGG